GACGAACGCUGGCGGCGUGCUUAACACAUGCAAGUCGAACGGUGAUGGGGGAGCUUGCUCCUUCUGAUCAGUGGCGAACGGGUGAGUAACACGUGAGUAACCUGCCCUUGACUCUGGGAUAAGCGUUGGAAACGACGUCUAAUACCGGAUAUGAGAUGCGACCGCAUGGUCUGUGUCUGGAAAGUUUUUCGGUCAAGGAUGGACUCGCGGCCUAUCAGCUUGUUGGUGAGGUAAUGGCUCACCAAGGCGUCGACGGGUAGCCGGCCUGAGAGGGCGACCGGCCACACUGGGACUGAGACACGGCCCAGACUCCUACGGGAGGCAGCAGUGGGGAAUAUUGCACAAUGGGCGAAAGCCUGAUGCAGCGACGCCGCGUGAGGGAUGAAGGCCUUCGGGUUGUAAACCUCUUUCAGUAGGGAAGAAGCGAAAGUGACGGUACCUGCAGAAGAAGCACCGGCUAACUACGUGCCAGCCGCCGCCGUAACAC
rnacentral:rRNA from 1 species